UACAGAGGGGACAAGCGUUGUUCGGAAUUACUGGGCGUAAAGGGCGCGUAGGCGGCCUGUUAAGUCGAACGUGAAAUCCCCGGGCUCAACCCGGGAACUGCGUUCGAUACUGGCAGGCUUGAAUCCGGGAGAGGGAUGCGGAAUUCCAGGUGUAGCGGUGAAAUGCAUUGAGAUCGGAAAGAACACCAACGGCGAAAGCACUCUGCUGGGCCGACACUGACACUGAGAGACGAAAGCUAGGGGAGCAAAUGGG
rnacentral:rRNA from 1 species